AUGACCGGCAAUAUCCAUCAUGAAGCCAAUGCUUUCGAUAUCAUUGAGCUUACCGGCCUUCCCACUCCUGGAGAAUUCUUCGAAGAAGGCUGCCAACUCCAUGCUGAAGCAAUUGAGAGCAUAUUUCAGCGUCCUGAGCCAAAUAUGAGUCAGAUGCUCUCAAUGAUGAAGCCAUUGCCUCAUGAUGCACCCUAUCCAACUGAGUUCUUCGUUGAAGACUUAGAGUACCUGCCCAGAACCAUAUAUCACAUCAUCAGGCAGACUCUAUGGCCCAUUAAGGGACACUCUCCAUAUGCCAAGAUUGAAGGUGCAAUGAAGACUCUCAUAUUCUGCAUUCUUCAUGGAAAAUGCUUCAACGCACAGGAUCUCUUCAUCCACCUACUUGCAGCGUCUGGCUCAGAUUUAUUUGGCUUGAAGUUUUAUGCUCCUUGGGUUAUGAGGCUGAUCAAGCUUCACUCUGCGAUUUCAUAUCAGCCCUCAGCCCGCAACCAUCGAAUCUUCUUGCUAGAUUUGGACACCUCUGCUGAAGCUAUAUACCCUGAGCCUGCCAAGCAACCAUUAAGUCUUCAAAAUGCAGAACACCAGAGCUUCACUCAGAAUGUUGACGGUGUUGAAGCCAUCUCCAGAGUAUAUCCGUUGGAUGGCACCACACAUGCACCUGCAUCUACUGAAGCCACUGACAGCACAGCUGCUCAGCGACCCAAGAAGCGCGCUCGUGCCCUCAAUGACCGAGAGCUUCUUGUGGCCCUUCACCAAAAGCAAGAUAGGCAUCACGACUGGUUGAAGAGACAGAUGAAAAGCCUCUUGGUGGAUGUCAACCGCCUCAGGAAUCUUGCCACCAAGAAUGCAUUCGUUGCUCAUGAAACUUGUCGCCGCACCUGGAAAGGACUCUCAAUGAUGUGUUCUGAAGCUGAACUUCAAGAGGUUGGCUUCAAAGAGCAAUUCAAGUUUGACUCCACACCUCCUAGAAGAGCUGUGAUGCGAAGCACACCAUCACUUGAAGAUUCGGAGUUCUCUUCCUCUGCUGCCACGGUGAAUGCACGGAUUAUCGAUGAAGAGGGCGACACUACAUCACCUCCACCUCCUUCAGCACGCAUCAACUCUGCACCAAGCUCAUCUGCACCGCCAAACACUUCCACCGACCCUGCUGCGCCUGGGAACGCGUAG
rnacentral:rRNA from 1 species